AGUGGCGCACGGGUGAGUAACACGUGACUAACCUACCCUCGAGUGGGGAACAACCUCGGGAAACCGGGGCUAAUACCGCAUAACAUCCACGGAUCAAGUGCGUAAGCAGCUUGGGGAGGGGGUCGCGGCUGAUUAGCUAGUUGGCGGGGUAAUGGCCCACCAAGGCAAUGAUCAGUAGCCGGCCUGAGAGGGCGCACGGCCACACUGGAACUGAAACACGGUCCAGACUCCUACGGGAGGCAGCAGUGGGGAAUUUUGCGCAAUGGGGGAAACCCUGACGCAGCAACGCCGCGUGGAGGAUGACGCCCCUUGGGGUGUAAACUCCUUUCGAUCGGGACGAUUAUGACGGUACCGGAUGAAGAAGCACCGGCUAACUCUGUGCCAGCAGCCGCGGUAAUACAGAGGGUGCAAGCGUUGUUCGGAAUUAUUGGGCGUAAAGGGUGCGUAGGCGGUGCGGUAAGUCUUUUGUGAAAUCUCCGGGCUCAACUCGGAGUCUGCAAGGGA
rnacentral:rRNA from 1 species